AGAGAGAGAGAGAGAGAGAGAGAGAGAGAGAGAGAGAGAGAGAGAGAGAGAUGAGGUUGAAAAUGUGAACAUCAUUCUUAUUGAACACUAUGACCAAUAGGACCUUCCAUCUUAUGACCUUCGACCCUUUCUCUAACUGGCUAUUAGAGUCGUAGUCACCCUUCUGCAAAUGAACAGAUCCAUUUUUUUUUCCAUAAGGAGAUAUUAUUGAUUUAUUAUUUGAUAUCAUGUGAAAAGAUUCAUGAAGAAUUCCAAGCACCUGCAGCAUAAUCUUUUGUUUCCCCCCUAGUGUUAGUCACACACACACACACACACACACCUGCAGCGUAAUUUUUCCCCCCCUCUAGUAUUAGUAGUCACACACACACAAACACACACACCUGCAGUGUUCUCUGCUGUACCUGCAGCAUCCAAGGCACUGACCCUCAGAGUUAUGAGACACACACACACACAGGAGUGAGUGGUACUUCAUCUCAGUUUGGGCUGUCAGACAGCAUCUGUGUGAGGGAUGUGUGGUCCAUCUGGGGAACUCACACACACACACACACACAGAUGACUGCUAUUGGAGAGGCUGGAUAUGUGGUGGGCUGCCCCAUCUGUGAAUGUUUCUGUAAAGUAAUGUCGUGUGUGUUUGUGCUUGUGUUGGAGAGAGUGUGUGUGUAGACCUAAUGUGUGAAAUAGCAUGUGUCUCUGUGCAGUGUGUGUGUGUGUGUGUGUGAGAGAGAGAGAGAGUAAUGCGAUGCUAAUGCGUGUAAAAUAAUGGAUGUGGAGGUGCCUUGGCUCUGCUCUGCUCUUCCUCCCAAACCACAUGGGCACUGACUGGGGCACUGCACUGACACACACACGCACACACACAGUGGGCUCCCUUACGCUGGCAUCCAGGUCCGCUCCCACCACGGCUGGCCUUUGGGCUGCGAGGUUGAAUUACACACACACACACACACACACACACUCACCAUGCACUCUCUCUCCUGCUCAAACAUGACACAUACACCACACUUUCUCAUCCUCACACACACACAGCUUGUGGGAGCCAUUUGGCUUUGAAGGCGACUGCAGUGCAGUGUGUGUGUGUUCUGUGUGGAUUUGCUGCAGUCUAAAGAGACGUUCAUUUCUUAACUCGGCUGCUGCUGCAGGGCACUCAGAAUCAGAAUCACAAUACAGGACGAUGCCAUUUCAUUGGCCACUUCCGUUAUUUGAUUGAGGAGAUGUGUGUGUGAUGUGUGUGUGUGUGUGUGUGCGUAUGUGUGUGUGCGUGUGUGUGUGUGUAGUGAUGCAGGGCCAGACGCAGCUGUUCCCAGGGCUGUCUGCUCCACACAAAUCUCCAUCAGAUAGUCAGUCCACAUUUAUGUUGCCUAGCAACUUUUAACAUGGUAAUUGUGGGAGUUUUGCUAUUGAGGAAAGUGUGUGUCUGUGUGUGGGCAUGAGUUCAGGUGUGUGUGUGUGUGUGUGAGUUGAUGGGUGGGCAUGCGUGCAGGUGUCAAUGUGCAUGCAGGUGUGUGUUUGAGUGUUUGUGCGCAGGCAUGCAUGACUUCUGUUCACACACUCAGUGUGUGUUAUGUUGUGGAGAGUGUGUGUGUCCCUCUUCACAGAGCACAUAAUGGCGGUGUGUGUGUGUGGCUUUGUGAGUAAAUGAGACUGCACUCCUACUUUACAUCAUCACCCUAGUCAGACCACACACACACACACACACAGUCUUCUAACAGCGUGCUGCGCUCCUCCCAUUUAACGCUUCUCCCCUCCCCUCUGCUGCAACACAACCCCCACCAAUCUGAGCAUGGAGAAGCUUUACCUUUUAAUUUUGUUUUAAUCACUAGAAAACAAAACAUUCAGCAAGAACCUCUCUCAAUCUCUCACCUGAGAAGCAGGGGAAUAUUCCAUGGGUUCUAGAACCCCUCUCUCAAUCUCAGAAGUCUAAGAGACAGGGGAACAUUCCAUUAGUUCUAGAACCUCUCUCUCAAUCUCACAACUCUGAAAGACAGGGGAACAUUCCAUGGGUUCUAGAACUGGAGCAAACUCAUUCCUGACUGGACACAGACCCCUAAAGCCCCUGCCAGUCACCCUCUACUGCCCUCUUCUGCCAGCAUUCCCUCUUACACACACACACACACACACACACACACACACACACACACACACACACAGAGAGAGUGAUUGAUGGUCAGUUUUGGCUCAGAGAGUCUGUGGGAGGGAAGGAGUCAUUGGUGCUGUUCUAGCUGAGGCCCGGAAAUUACUUUUUAUUAUGACAUGGGCCUUUCACCCAGAAGCAAUAAGACUCACUGGUCCAGUCAGACUCACGCUGACCACCAGGAAUAAUCUCUCCAGUAGCCCAGUGGACGCAGGAGACCAGGCUAUAGGCCCGAGGGGCAGCUAGUGUUUCGGGCUAAUGACUGGAAAGGAGUUGUUUUGUCCUAGACAUUCGUGUGUCUUGCUCCGAGCGUGUUUUGUCCUAGACAUUCACGUGUCUUGCUCCGAGCGUGUUUUGUCCUAGACAUUCACGUGUCUUGCUCCGAGCGUGUUUUGUCCUAGACAUUCGUGUGUCUUGCGCCGAGCGUGUUUUGUCGUAGACAUUUGUGUGUCUUGCUCUGAGCGUGUUUUGUCGUAGACAUUCGUGUGUCUUGCUCCGAGCGUGUUUUGUCGUAGACAUUCACGUGUCUUGCUCCGAGCGUGUUUUGUCGUAGACAUUCGUGUGUCUUGCUCCGAGCGUGUUUUGUCGUAGACAUUCGUGUGUCUUGCUCCGAGCGUGUUUUGUCGUAGACAUUCACGUGUCUUGCUCCGAGCGUGUUUUGUCGUAGACAUUCACGUGUCUUGCUCUGAGCGUGGUGCCAUUAUGAUGGCAGAUGGAUCAUGUCUCUCUUUGAAGGCUGCUUGAAGUGAACGUCAGUCUCUCAGAAUGUGUGCUGUUUGAUGGCUGAUGUUCUACCGUCGGAUGUUUUCCUCCUGAUCUUGGCGUCAUGUGGAUCGGGAAGUGUCAGGGUAGCGGAAGGAUGACUGGAGAUCUACAUUCCAUUGUUAGUGUGUUAGUGUGUUGCUGCUUUCCUCCCUCACAGAUAUCUCCUCCUCAUUCUAGAUCUCCUGUCUCUUCUCCCAUAUAGCUUGCCACUCCUCCCAGAGAAGCCUUAGGGAGCACUCAGUAAGCGCACAUACAUAGCACACGAGGAAAGCCCAUGCAGGACCCUCGGAUAACCCACAUAGGACCCUAGGAAAGCACAGGUAGUACAUUAGGAAAGCACAUGAAGGACCUUAGGAAAGCACAUGAAGCCCAUAUAGGACACUGGGAAAGCACAGAUAGUACGUUAGGAAAGCCCAUGUACUGUAGGACACUAGGAAAGCACAUAUAGCACACUAGGAAAGCCCAUGAAGGACCCUCAGAAAGCACAUGCCCUAGGAAAGCCCAUAUAGGACCCUAGGAAAGCCCAGGACAUAUCGGACCCCCCAAACACAUAUAAUGCACUAGGAAAGCACAUUGUAGGGCACUAGAUAGCUGCACCAUAGAGACCAGAGUUACUGUCCUAGAGGUAAACGAUGCUGAAGGAGCUUUAUAAAAAUGACUUAAAUUAUCCACAAGGGGGCAGAGUUUGACUGGAAAUGCCAGAGAGGUGCAGAGGGAUGUGCUGGGGCACAAAAUAGCACAUCUCACAUGUUGGGAUAUACACCACACCCAUACCUUUCCACUUUUAACCUGUAUCAAAUAAAUGUAUUAUCAGCAUAUGAAAAUGAGGCCAUUCAGUAAACAUGAAUGUCACCCCUCCAGUGACUCAGAGGUAAGGGUAGGUGAUGCGUGAUGUUUAACACUAAUGCACAGACGGCUUUCAUUUUUUAAUUUCCGAUGGAGGGUCCUCCAGAGUUCUGGCUCAGGAGGGGUAGAACUCCUGAGAGCAGCGGACUUCUGACCGGGCCUGGGCCAGAUCCGGUGUGAUCGUUUCCACCGGACGCACGCCGGAUCAAAGGCCCGCUUCGCUUCAGCCUUGGAGCGGUGGAACAACCUAGUUUAAGAGAGUAGAAGUCCUUGGCCAUGUAUAGGUUCUGCCUGUGCACUUAAAACAGCGGAUUUCACUAACUAGCUCAUCUAUCUGGCUGAAGAGUUGUGCUAAUUGGAACACACACACAUUGAUCGGACUUUCACGUUCGUCAGCUGUCGUCUAGCAAACACCAGCAAAGCAGAGCAUAGGUCAGGUGUAAUGUCCAUUAUGGGUAUGUUGCCCGUUCCAGAUGCCCUUGGCCGAGGUCAUUAUGGGUGUGUUGCCCGUUCCAGAUGCCCUUGGCCGAGGUCAUGAGGACCGUGUACAGGGGUGGGGUGUUCUCGACUGAGGGUUGAGUCCCGGUGCUGAUGGAAGACGUGUGUGUGUGUGUGUGUGUGUGUGUGUGAUCAGAGUAGAUAAGGUCUUAGGAAAGAGCACUGGACGCAUGCUGGGGAGUCUGAGCUCUGGGUCUUCGGAUGUAACUUACGCUAUGUGCGCUCAUCUCCAGAGUACAGCUUAUGUGAUGUUGUUUUUCUUUUUGAAUCUUUUACUACUUCAGACCAUCAGCACAAUCAGACGUUUUCCAUGACCGAGACCCAAACUUUGCUUAAUCAAUUUUCAAAUGAAAAAACGAUCACCGUCACUUCUCAAGCUGGUAGUAACAAAUGAUUGUCAUUGUAGGUUGAUAUAGAAGUUUCUGUUUGUUUUCCAGGUUUUUAUUUUUUAAUCAGUUGUGUAAAUGGUGGCGAAGACCUCAGUCUUUCCAUUGAGGCGGUUGUGUGAAAUCCAGCAUGUAUUUAUUGCACUUUUGUGAUUUGGGUUUGUUGUCUUUCUUUUCUCGUGACUCCUAAAAGCUGUGAAUUUGUUUUUGUUUUUUUUCAUUGACACUGUAAUGUCAAAGCAGAAUUGUACAUAUGUCACCAGCACAAGAAUGUUUUGUAGUUUCACAACAAAUAUAAAAAUGUUCUUUUCUUCUA